UGAUCAUGGCUCAGAGUGNCCGCUGGNGUAAAGGCCUAACACAUGCAAGUCGAACGGCAGCACAGGAGAGCUUGCUCUCUGGGUGGCGAGUGGCGGACGGGUGAGGAAUACAUCGGAAUCUACUUUUUCGUGGGGGAUAACGUAGGGAAACUUACGCUAAUACCGCAUACGACCUACGGGUGAAAGCAGGGGAUCUUCGGACCUUACGCGAUUGAAUGAGCCGAUGUCGGAUUAGCUAGUUGGCGGGGUAAAGGCCCACCAAGGCGACGAUCCGUAGCUGGUCUGAGAGGAUGAUCAGCCACACUGGAACUGAGACACGGUCCAGACUCCUACGGGAGGCAGCAGUGGGGAAUAUUGGACAAUGGGCGCAAGCCUGAUCCAGCCAUACCGCGUGGGUGAAGAAGGCCUUCGGGUUGUAAAGCCCUUUUGUUGGGAAAGAAAUCCAGCUGGCUAAUACCCGGUUGGGAUGACGGUACCCAAAGAAUAAGCACCGGCUAACUUCGUGCCAGCAGCCGCGGUAAUACGAAGGGUGCAAGCGUUACUCGGAAUUACUGGGCGUAA
rnacentral:rRNA from 1 species